rnacentral:rRNA from 1 species
AUGAACUUGCCAAACCUCUUGGUCUUUUCCUCCUUCACGUCAUGGCGCUUGGCACAUGCCUCCCCCUUCUUCGUCUUGAUGUCCUCGAACAUCUCCGUUAUCUUGGCAGCUGCCCGUUCUCGUUUCUCCUUCUCCUCCUCCCACUUUCUCCUCCGAUGCCUUUUGAACUUUUUGGACUGCUCAAGCCCUCCUUUUGUUGAGGCGGUUGGAUCACCAUCUUCAUCUUCGUUGGUGAUGGCAGCAGCCUUGACGGAAUUCGCAACAAAGUGGAUCCACUUGGGUUGCACAUUCAACUUAGCCCGACAAAUGCAUGAACCGUAA